GGGCCCUUAGUUCAGUCUGGCAGAACGUCCCCCUUGCAGGAGUGGUUACGCUCGAUCCAUACGCAAAAAGCCAUUCACAGAAUGGCUUACGGAGAGGCGGAGCCGAUUCCAAGUCAGGGGAAGGCCCAGGGUUCAAAUCCCUGAGGGUCCA
rnacentral:tRNA from 1 species